AAUGCACCAAUUUGUAAGUCGCUCUGGAUAAGAGCGUUUGCUAAAUGAUGUAAA
rfam:Salmo salar isolate Sally breed double haploid chromosome ssa11, whole genome shotgun sequence.